UACAGAGACUGCAAGCGUUAUUCGGAUUCACUGGGCGUAAAGGGUGCGCAGGCGGCCAAGUGUGUGAGGCGUGAAAGCCCGGGGCUUAACCCCGGAAUUGCACCUCAAACUACAUGGCUAGAGCAUUGGAGAGGGUAGCGGAAUUCACGGUGUAGCAGUGAAAUGCGUAGAUAUCUGGAGGAACACCGGUGGCGAAGGCGGCAUCCUGGACCGGCAUUGACGCUGAGGAGCGAAAGCCAGGGGAGCAAACGGG
rnacentral:rRNA from 1 species